UGAAUGGUGUUCUGGUUCAUGCUGACUCCCCUUCAGGCCUUUCCUACUUCUAUCAAUCCAUUUAUUUACAGUGGCGGGCUCUCCCUCUCCCAGCAAGGGGCCCAAUGCCUCGUCCUGGCUUUGGGACUGUUUCCAUGGUAACACAAAACACUGGAAGAACUCUGAGCUGGGAUAUAACCCUAAAUGCAACACUUUCUGCUGCAAACUGUCCCCAUAGCGAUGGUUGCCAGGCAAACAGUGAGACGCACGCCCAGGUUGCAGCCUCUACUGUCAAUUAAUGGUGUCUGCAGACUCUACGAGCAACAUGAGGCUUUGGAGAUAGAGAGAGAGACAAGAGGACAUGGGAUAAACAUGGCUCUUCUCGUUUCUGUGUUGGUGCUCUCCUUCUUGCCGGAAGUGUUCCUUUCCCUAGGUUCUGGGGAAAACCCUCCACCGAUCUUGGUAACUGAAGGGGAACCCGUCUCCUUUGAGUGUUCCUUUGAUGGAUCCCCUGCUGUUGGCGAUCCAUUCUACGAGAUAAUCUGGAUGUAUAAUAUGACCCAUAAAAAUGUGUCCAAGAGGAUCCUUCCCUUUAGAAUGACUCGUCCCAAUUCCAGCGUCCCUGUCUCAGUCACUGAAGGCCAUUUUAGGGGUCAUUUAGACUUUGAAAAGAACACCAGCUCUCUCGUCAUCCCCGAGGUGCGGGUGAAUGACAGCGGCCUGUAUUACUGCGAAGUGAACACAGUGCCAGACCAUGUUAAAUCAAAAACAAACGGGACUUGUCUCAUUGUCACGGCCCCCCGAGGGAAUGUUCUGCUGAUCUCCAGUCUGACUGCUGGGCUACUUCUGUUCUUCCUUGCUUUGGGCUUGUAUUUUACAUUAAAGUGCCGAAUCCAGGCCAAGAAACCAGAAGUUUCUCUGGAAAUGUCCGAUCCCAUUUGCAGCACCUCUGCCCCUGCCCGGAGAGAGUUCUUUACACAGCCCGUCGGCAGUGAAAUGAUCUAUUCAAAACUGCAGUGGAGCAAGUCCAGCGUAAGUGCUGAUCUCUGUGCUGAAAGUGCUCAGAUGUCAUUCCAGUCCCAGCGGAGUCACUCUGAUAACUAAUGUAGAUGAUGAGAGCAGUAACUUUUUGUACUUCUGUAGCAUCUGCG
rnacentral:lncRNA from 1 species